UGUUUUUCAGUCGGUGGUGAAAACCGGACGCCUGCUCAUCAGUCAUGAAGCACCAAUAACCGGAGGCUUUGCUGCAGAAAUCAGCUCUUCAGUACAGGAAGAGUGCUUCCUAAACCUGGAGGCUCCCAUCAGCAGGGUCUGCGGUUAUGACACCCCCUUCCCUCACAUCUUUGAACCUUUCUACAUCCCAGACAAGUGGAAGUGCUUUGACGCAAUUAAGAAGAUGAUCAAUUACUAAACCCCGUCAGCCAACUUCUGGUAUCCCUGAACCCCAGGCUCUCUCCUUUCUCUCUUCGUUCAUCAUAUCAGUGGAGAUCAGCUGGGAAAAGACACUUUGUUGACCAUCCAAUCAGGAAGCAGCAUCCAGAUGGGCUCCAUGUCCCCUCUGCAUCCUGAAGACUGUUACAUCAACUCUGCAUUGAGGAACCUUGUUCUGUGGGAAGAAAAAUAAUGAAUUGAUCCACUCGUUAUGGUGAAACUCUGCUUUGGGGUCGACAUAAUUAGAUUUCCUCCUAAAUAAAUGGACGGAUACUGUGGGGAAAACUGUAUUUGAUUGAAUUUGUGGCUGCCUCUCUGUGCUGUUACCUUUUGAUUUAACGUGUCCAUUUUGCUGUACUCUUUAUUAAGUUUGACAUGAACUAACCUUACUGUACUAAUAUAGUGGAUCUGUGGUUUUUAAAGAAAAUAAAGUAAUCAGAACUUUGUGAAAACAUUUGGUUUGGCUAUUUGCAUUGCUUUACAUUUGUUUGGAAUUGGGAUUGUACAGAAAAAAGUAAACAUUUUCUGGGGUUUCCAUUGGUCCUAGAGUUAGAGAAAAAUAUAUACAACUUAGUCGUAGGGAAACCUUUACCUAAACCAUAAUGAAAUCUGCCCAUGUCACGUUGGAAUUCUGCCCUUGCCUCAAUGAGGAGAUGCUGGCGCGAAAUGAAAAUGUGCUCAACACUACCAGCUUAUAUGUGUAGGGAAAACUCAAAUGGCUACAAAGUUAAUAAAUCAUUUUUAUGAGGUUUGGAAAUUUGACAUCUUGUUGAACACAUUUGAUGCCUUAGAUUUAGAACUCACAUUUUUCAGUUAUAGUAGCACUUUGAUUUAAAGGUCCCAUGUUUUGGCCAUUUCUACUGAUCAUAAUUCCAUUGUUGAGGUCUACUAGAAUAGAUUUACAUUGUGUACGGUAUCCGCUGGCAUGGCACUUGGUCUAUAUCAAGCAUCCAGGGAAACACAGCGGGAAAUCCACCUUACACUGUCCGCUCCGGGGGCCUCGCGGGCAGCUGAGCUGCUCAGGAGUCCACCCUGGCAGAGGGUGUGCCUAUUGUUCUAUAGCUGUGUGCCAAUUGGUCCAGACUUAGUGACGUCAAUAGGCCCCCGGAAGAAAAAAAUGGAAAAUGACAAAUCUAGAACGAGGAGUUCUGCAUGUAUAGGCACGUAUUUUCUGUGUUAGUUUUACUUGUUACAGGGUGUACUUUUAGGGUUUGUGACUUUGCAGACCGUUUACAUGCAGAACAAGCGACAUCUGGUAAUAACCAGAACAGCAUAUGAUGGGACCUUUAAACUUUCACAUUUUUAAAAGACAGAAAAGACAUAGCAUUUUACAACAUGGCCACUGUUUGAACUUUUGUCCUUUUUAUAAAGUUUCCAGACUUUUCCAUUUUAUCUGUAUUUCCAUGAGAAAAAAUGUUCUUCCUUGUUAAACUUCUUGAGACUCAUGGAACCAAUAGUGACCACUGCUGGAACCCAAACACAUGUUUGAGAAAUCACGAGUGAUGGAAAAACUUUUACCUGAACAACAAUAAAGACCACAGAUCAAAAGUU